rnacentral:rRNA from 1 species
CCUACGGGAGGCAGCAGUGGGGAAUCUUGCGCAAUGGACGAAAGUCUGACGCAGCGACGCCGCGUGGGGGAAGAAGGCUUUCGGGUUGUAAACCCCUUUCAGGAAGUACGAAGCCACUCGGGUGAAUAGCCCAGAGGGUGACGGUACUUCCAGAAGAGGCCCGGCUAACUACGUGCCAGCAGCCGCGGUAA